CGGUCUGCACAAUAUGAGGGCCAAAAAUUGAGCCCAAUUCCAGCGGGCCCCUCAAUUCUCGGCCUGCAAAUCAGCAGAUCCCACCUGUCAGGCAAACAAACCAUUCGAUCUCGCCGCCGUUGCAUCUCGCGAGUCCGCCGCCCCUGGUCGCCGCUGCCCACGCCCGGCUUCCGUGUGCCAGCCGCGCCAUCGACGUGCCUCUCCCCUCCGCCGCCGCCCAGUUUUCUGCUUCGCCCUGCCCCCAUCGCCGUGGCUGCCGCCGUCGCCCAUCCUUGCUCGUCGUGGCCGCCCGGUUGCCGUCGAGCUCGCCGCCGCCUCGCCGGACCUCCGGUCGAUUCCGGCCGCCUAGAGGACAUACAGACGUGUUUUCUGAAUGAGUUUGACCCUCUCCCGCUCAGGGACCCAUUUCGAGGUGAAGCUGAAGUGAAGUGCAAUUGGGGCACCACCACAUGGUCAGAUCUGUAUUAUGCCAGCAGUUUGGAUUCAAGCUGUGCAAGGAGGACAUCUUUGCUUUCUAUUCUACUUCUACUCUUGUAGCAUGUUCACAGAUGUUCACAGAUUGUGGCCUGAAUGUAUAUGAUGGCUUUUUGGAGAUUGCUCAAAAAUGAAUGCACUUGAUAAUUGUACCAAAAAAUUGGCCUAAAUGUAUUUGGGUUUUAUUUCAACGACUCUUGCGUUGUAAUGAAUAAUAAUGCUACUGUUUGGAUUUGUCAAGGUUUAUGGAAUUAUUACUGUGUUUCACUGCUA